rnacentral:lncRNA from 1 species
AUGCCACCUUGUCUUUUUGGGUUUUCCUUCAAUUUAUGUGGCAGUUUCGACUCAUUGACUUAUGGACGGGUUAUGUUUAUCAGGGACGGAUAAUGAGUCAAACGGGUCAGAAGUUUCUUAAAAUGUAUUUUAUCACAUAAAACCACUGGUGACAGAUUGUGUCUGGUUCGGGCCAAACCUUCGUUGGUUCGUAUAACCUAACCCGCACAUGAACAGUUAUUCACGUCAAGUUGUUGUACCCUAAUCUAGAUUUGCUUACAAGCUUACAAUACUGGUAACCCAAACGCGACAUGUGUAACCUAGGUAUCUAAAUGGGUUACAUAAGUAGGCGGGUCAACAUGUUUUAGAAAACGUAUAAAAAAGUUUCAGUGUUCAAUAUCUAGUUUCUGAAUUUAAAUGGUUUGGCGGGUGGAAAACGGGGUGGUUGUCAACCCAAACCCGACACAAAUAGCUAAAGGCCAUCUCGUUUAUGACCCGGGCCCGUUUUGCCCUGACCUUAAGUCUAGGGCUGUUCAUAACGCUCGCGACUCAUAGCUCGGCUCGUAGCUCGCUCGAAAGAAGCUCGAGAAAAACUAGCUAAAAAACUCAAUUUGAGAUGACGUGAACCAAGCUGGCUCAUUUUGUAACCAAGCCCGGCUCAAGCUAAGCUUGGCUCGGCUCGUUGGCUCGUUUAACUCUGACGUAAAGCUCAAGCCAAGUUUAACCGCCUGAAUUAGUUUCGCGUUUGAGCUCGACCCCACCCUGGCUCGACUCGUUUACAGCCCUACUUAAGUCCCUAACUUGUUAAGUUCAUGUCGUGCUGGUAUUGCUGCCCCUUAUAAACCUCCUAUAUCAUUUUAUUCCAUAAUUAAAAAUAUUAAUACAAACCACAUGGACGUAAAUGGCUAAUUUGCCACAAAUUAAAUAUAAAAACGACUAUUUUGGACAAUAAGUUUUCGGUUAUAAUCGAUCACUCACCAACCCAAAUAGAAAUCAUGUGCUCUUUGGGUAGCUUUCACAUCUUCAAUUGUAUUUGAAUAAGGUUCAUACCAAUACGCAAACAAAUUUAUUCCGACAAAACCAUGUUGUGUGGCCUGCAUCGUCAUCGCCAAUAUUUCUUAUGCAAACAAGUAGUGAAUAACUAUUGAAUAAAUGUUACGGGUCUCGAUUCUUGGAAAAGAUUUUACCUUGUAUUUUUUUCGGUAGAGUCUUACUGUCGAUGCAUGUGCCAACAACAAAUGGUGACCUACAAUGUAUGGUUCAGAUGUAGAGUCACCACCGUUAGUACAAUUACUUAUCUUGUACACACUUGUCCCAAACGGGUAAGAACAACGUCCAGGUGGCGACACGCCCACAUCAUAACCACCUAAAGCAAAUACAUUAGCUUCGUUAAUCGUAGUCCAGUGCAAAACCCUAUCACCAAAUUCUCUGAAGCAAACAUCCACAUAUGCAACGAAGUCUUUCCUGCAGUUGAAAAACAGUAACCCGUUAAGAAAUAUUAUCGUAAUUCAUAAAUGGUUUUUUUUUUUUUGGAAUGUUAAUUAGUUAUAUAUAUGAACUGGCCGAGUUACAUCAAUAUCGCAGGUAAGCGAGCAACAAGCUGCGCUGCUACCCCUUUCUGAAUAGCAAACCCUAGCCUAUGGUUAUGAAAGCAAAGUUGAAGUUAGAAAUGUACACUGCUUUUCGACUAAGCCAUCCUCCAUAUUCGUCUUCGAGAAUCUGUGGUAGAUCAUCGUGAUGUAAUGUAAUAUGUGGUUGUAUUCCUAAACAAAAUAUUAACGACUUUGAAACGGAUGAUCUUAUUUUAGCUUGACCAAAAUUCAGUUAUACUUAACCAUGGCUGAUAAGCUUGUCGAUAAGAUCAUUGUAGUAUUGUAAUCCCUUUAAAUUCACGGGUCCUCUGCC